CGGAGGCCAUUGCUCUUGGGGUCCGAUUUAGCCAUGCUAGUCGCACGGGCUUAGACCCGUGGCGAACAGCUCAGUAACACGUGGCCAAACUGCCCUAUGGACCGGAACAACCUCGGGAAACUGAGGCUAAUUCCGGAUACGACUCGCAUCCUGGAGUGGAGCGAGUCAGAAAUGCUCCGGCGCCAUAGGAUGUGGCUGCGGCCGAUUAGGUAGACGGUGGGGUAACGGCCCACCGUGCCCGUAAUCGGUACGGGGCAUGAGAGUGCGAGCCCGGAGGCGGUAUCUGAGACAAGAUACCGGGCCCUACGGGGCGCAGCAGGCGCGAAACCUUUACCCUGCGCGAGAGCGCGAUAAGGGGACCCCAAGUGCGAGGGCAUAUAGUCCUCGCUGUUCUGGACUGUAGGGAGGUUCAGAAGAAAGGGCUGGGCAAGACCGGUGCCAGCCGCCGCGGUAAUACCGGCAGCCCGAGUGAUGGCCGAUUUUAUUGGGCCUAAAGCGUCCGUAGCCGGCCAGACAGGUCCGUCGGGAAAUCCACGCGCUUAACGCGUGGAGGUCCGGCGGAAACCAGCUGGCUUGGGGCCGGAAGACCCAGGGGGUACGUCUGGGGUAGGAGUGAAAUCCCGUAAUCCCGGACGGACCGCCGGUGGCGAAAGCGCCCUGGGAGGACGGACCCGACGGUGAGGGACGAAAGCCAAGGUCACGAACCGGAUUAGAUACCCGGGUAGUCUUGGCCGUAAACGAUGUCCGCUCGGUGUGUCUCAGGCUACGAGNGGGAAACUGUGCCAUAGCGAAGGCGNUAAGCGGGCCGCCUUGGAAGUACGUUGCAAGGAUGAAAUUUAAAGGAAUUGGCGGGGGAGCACAACAACCGGAGGAGCCUGCGGUUUAUUUGGACUCAACGCCGGACAUCUCACCGGCCCCGACAGCAGUUAUGACGGUCAGGUUGAUGACCUUACUCGAGCUGCUGAGAGGAGGUGCAUGGCCGCCGUCAGCUCGUACCGUGAGGCGUCCUGUUAAGUCAGGCAACGAGCGAGACCCGUGUCCUUAAUUGCCAGCAGCACGCCCUGCGUGGCUGGGUACAUUAGGGAGACUGCCGUCGCUAAGACGGAGGAAGGAGCGGGCAACGGUAGGUCAGUAUGCCCCGAAUGGGCCGGGCGACACGCGGGCUACAAUGGCCGGGACAGUGGGAUGCGACCCCGAGAGGGGGAGCUAAUCUCCUAACCCCGGUCGUAGUUCGGAUUGAGGGCUGAAACCCGCCCUCAUGAAGCUGGAUUCGGUAGUAAUCGCGCCUCAGCAAGGCGCGGUGAAUACGUCCCUGCUCCUUGCACACACCGCCCGUCAAAGCACCCGAGUGGGGUCCGGAUGAGGCCGCCGGAAGGCGGUCGAAUCGGGGCUCCGCAAGGGGGCUUAAGUCGUAACAAGGUAACC
rnacentral:rRNA from 1 species